rnacentral:piRNA from 1 species
UAGGCUCACCCUCUGACCUAGCUGGACACC